rnacentral:rRNA from 1 species
GAUGAACGCUGACAGAAUGCUUAACACAUGCAAGUCAACUGUGGCGGACGGGUGAGUAACGCGUAAAGAACUUGCCUCACAGCUAGGGACAACAUUUGGAAACGAAUGCUAAUACCUGAUACUGUGAGAGAGCUUUGCGUCCCAUUAUCUAGUUGGAGGGGUACCGGCUCACCAAGGCGAUGAUGGGUAGCAGGCAUGAGAGGGUGAUCGGCCACAAGGGGACUGAGACACGGCCGUGACUCCUACGGGAGGCAGCAGUGGGGAAUAUUGGACAAUGGACCAAAGUCUGAGCCAGCAAUGCUGUGUGCACGAUGAAGUUGUCGGAAUGUAAAGUGCUUUCAGUUGGGAAGCGGUACCAACAGAAGAAGUGCCGGCUAAAUACGUGCCAGCCGCCGCGGUAAUUC